rnacentral:rRNA from 1 species
CGGCGUGCUUAACACAUGCAAGUCGAACGAAGACGAUUGAAAGCUUGACUUUGAAAGUCGAGUGGCAAACGGGUGAGUAACGCGUAGACAACCUGCCGUAAAGAUGGGGACAACAGUUCGAAAGGACUGCUGAUACCGAAUGUUGUAGAGUUUCCGCAUGGGAAUCCUACUAAAGAUGGCCUCUACUUGUAAGCUAUCGCUUUACGAUGGGUCUGCGUCUGAUUAGCUAGUUGGUGGGGCAACGGCCUACCAAGGCGACGAUCAGUAGCCGGUCUGAGAGGAUGAACGGCCACAUUGGAACUGAGACACGGUCCAGACUCCUACGGGAGGCAGCAGUGGGGAAUCUUCCGCAAUGGGCGAAAGCCUGACGGAGCAACGCCGCGUGAGUGAAGAAGGUCUUCGGAUCGUAAAGCUCUGUUGUCGGGGACGAACGUUGAGAUCUAGAAUAUAGAUUUCAAAUGACGGUACCUGACGAGGAAGCCACGGCUAACUACGUG